rnacentral:rRNA from 1 species
AACGAACGCUGGCGGCAGGCUUAACACAUGCAAGUCGAACGCCCCGCAAGGGGAGUGGCCGACGGGUGAGUAACGCGUGGGAACAUACCCUUUUCUACGGAAUAGCUCUGGGAAACUGGAAUUAAUACCGUAUACGCCCUACGGGGGAAAGAUUUAUCGGGGAAGGAUUGGCCCGCGUUGGAUUAGCUAGUUGGUGGGGUAAAGGCCUACCAAGGCGACGAUCCAUAGCUGGUCUGAGAGGAUGAUCAGCCACAUUGGGACUGAGACACGGCCCAAACUCCUACGGGAGGAAGCAGUGGGGAAUAUUGGACAAUGGGCGCAAGCCUGAUCCAGCCAUGCCGCGUGAGUGAUGAAGGCCUUAGGGUUGUAAAGCUCUUUCACCGAUGAAGAUAAUGACGGUAGUCGGAGAAGAAGCCCCGGCUAACUUCGUG